rnacentral:pre_miRNA from 1 species
GCGCUCGGUCGGCACCGAUAACAGGGUGUACGUGGUGGUCUGGUAAGUGUGUCGCUUAUGAGAUCACGCGUAUAUUCGCCGCGCAAGUUCGACGCCUGUCGACG